GCAAUGCCGCGUGUGUGAAGAAGGCCUUCGGGUUGUAAAGCACUUUUAUCAGGAGCGAAAUACUGCCGGCUAAUACCCGGCGGGGCUGACGGUACCUGAGGAAUAAGCACCGGCUAACUUCGUGCCAGCAGCCGCGGUAAUACGAAGGGUGCAAGCGUUAAUCGGAAUUACUGGGCGUAAAGCGUGCGUAGGCGGUUCUUUAAGUCUGCUGUGAAAUCCCCGGGCUCAACCUGGGAAUGGCAGUGGAUACUGGAGAGCUAGAGUGUGAUAGAGGAUGGUGGAAUUCCCGGUGUAGCGGUGAAAUGCGUAGAGAUCGGGAGGAACAUCAGUGGCGAAGGCGGCCAUCUGGAUCAACACUGACGCUGAGGCACGAAAGCGUGGGGAGCAAACAGGAUUAGAUACCCUGGUAGUCCACGCCCUAAACGAUGCGAACUGGAUGUUGGUCUCAACUCGGAGAUCAGUGUCGAAGCUAACGCGUUAAGUUCGCCGCCUGGGGAGUACGGUCGCAAGACUGAAACUCAAAGGAAUUGACGGGGGCCCGCACAAGCGGUGGAGUAUGUGGUUUAAUUCGAUGCAACGCGAAGAACCUUACCUGGCCUUGACAUGUCUGGAAUCCUGCAGA
rnacentral:rRNA from 1 species